rnacentral:lncRNA from 1 species
UUAGUAAUCUAAUUAUUAAUUAAUUCUCUAUUAAUGAUAGAGUCCAAGUCUAGUGAAACUCUUCUUUAGAGUGUCCGUCUAGUGGGACUCUUCAGCAGAGUCCCCAUCCAGUGGGACUCUUCAUCAGAGUCUCCAUCCAUUGGGACUCUUCAGAUUAGCCAUAUAAUUGGAGAGAAACUUCUAGUGUGUAUAAUCCCAUAGGUUCGAACCUA